AGGACGAACGCUGGCGGCGUGCUUAACACAUGCAAGUCGAGCGGAAAGGCCCUUCGGGGUACUCGAGCGGCGAACGGGUGAGUAACACGUGAGCAAUCUGCCCCUAGCUUCGGGAUAGCUCCGGGAAACCGGAAUUAAUACCGAAUACGACGACGGCCGACAUCGGCUGUUGUGGAAAGUUUUUCGGCUAGGGAUGAGCUCGCGGCCUAUCAGCUUGUUGGUGAGGUAACGGCUCACCAAGGCGACGACGGGUAGCCGGCCUGAGAGGGUGACCGGCCACACUGGGACUGAGACACGGCCCAGACUCCUACGGGAGGCAGCAGUGGGGAAUAUUGCACAAUGGGCGCAAGCCUGAUGCAGCAACGCCGCGUGAGGGACGACGGCCUUCGGGUUGUAACCUCUUUAGCAGGAGAAGCGAAAGUGACGGUACCUGCAGAAAAGACACCGGCUAACUACGUGCCAGCAGCCGC
rnacentral:rRNA from 1 species